ensembl:miRNA mdo-mir-12387 mdo-mir-12387
AUGGGAGGGAGAUGGAGGGGCAGCAGAGCAGACCUGUGCUUGGUCCUGACCCUACUUCUCCGCCCAGG